CUAUGUACCACUGGUCACAAUUCAUGUCAGUGUGAAUGUCUAUGUACCACAGGUCACAAUUCAUGUCAACAUGAAGGUCUAUGACUACCACAGGUCACAAUUCAUGUCAAUGUGAAGGUCUAUGUACCACUGGUCACAACUCAUAUCAAUGUGAAGGUCCAUUUAAAUUGUACAUUUACCUUUGGUCAAAAUUUAUGUAAAUGAAGGUCUACAUACCUGUCAUAUGACUGGUCAAAAUUUAAUGUCAUCAAAAAUGUCUAUAUGUACCUCUGCCAACUAUUCAUGUCAGCAUAAAAGUUUAUGCACCUUAAACUGAUCAAAGUAAUUAAUGUCAAUAUGAAAGCUGAUCUGCCAUGCAUUCAGGUCAGCAUAAAAGUCUAUGUAACUCUUGGUAAAGUUUGUGUCAUCAUGGAGUUCUAUGCAACAAUGGUCACUAUUAGAGGUGCGCCAUGACAAAUCCAACAUAGUGUGUUUCGGAUGCGCAGGCUGGUCUGGAUCCAUGCUGGUUGCAAACGCACUAUGUUGGUUUUGUCAUGGCGUGGCUUAUUUAUGUCAUCAUGAACGUUUAUUUACCAUUUGUAGCAUGAAAGUCUAUGAAAUGACAAUUUAUGUCAGUAAGGAAGUCUGUGUAAUGUUAAGCAACAUUUUUAUGUGAGCUUGAAGGAUUAUAAAAGACUUAACCAAAUGUAUUAAGUAUUUCAGUAUGUAGAACUGUGUACUUCUGGUCACUAUAUCUAUGUCAAUAUAAAUGCCUAUGUACCAAUAUUCUUGCCACAAUUAGAGUUCAUUUCUAAUUACUUUCUGGUUAAGGUCGUUGACUUCAAACCACUUGCCCCUCACCGCUGUGGGUUGGAAUCCCGACAGGGACUUUGGAUUAUUUCAUGUGAGGAAGCUAUCCAGCUAGCUUACGGAAUGUCGAUGGUUCUACUCAGGUACCCGUUCGUGCCUGAAAUAAUGCAUGGAAGGGCAUCUGAGGUCUUCCUCAACCAGUAUAGCUGGAACGUCGCCAUAUGACCUAUACUGUGUCAGUAUGACAUAAAACCCUAUUAAACAAACAAACAAACUUUCUUGUAUUUCUUUAAGGUUAUUUCUAAUAUUUAAUGAGAAAGCUGGCUUCAACACUAUGACAAUAUACUGUUUAUAUAAAAUUACAACAUGGUUGAAUGUAUUUCCCAAUACAAUUCCAAUAUUGUGUAAACACUACUCUUUCAUUGUAUGAAUAUUUUUGCAUUGUUGAGAUCUGAUAGGAGAUUGCUUUGCUGUAGAAAGGAUUUUAUAAGUAAGCCUUUGUGAAUAUUAUAGGAAGCCUUUGUGAAUAUUGUAUAUGGUGUUGUCAUGGUUAUAGAUAUAACAAUAAAUGAAGUCACAUAUGAAUAAGAAUGGUUGUAACUUUUAUAAAGGCCAGUUAUAACCCUCUUGUGAUCAAAUAUUGAAUAUGUUUCUUUGAUGAAGAUCAUGAAUAAAUGAUGUAGAUCAUGAGUAAAUGAUGUAAAUCAUUAGUAGAUGAUGUAGAUCUUGAGUAAAUAAUGUAGAUCAUGAGUAUAUGAGGUAGAUCAUGAAUUGAUGAUGUAGAUCAUGAGUAAAUGAUGUAGAUCAUGAGUAGAUGAUGUAGAUCAUGAGUAAAUGAUGUAGAUCAUUAGUAGAUGAUGUAGAUCAUGAGUAGAUGAUGUAGAUCAUGAGUAUAUGAUGUAGAUCAUAAAUUGAUGAUGUAGAUCAUGAGUAAAUGAUGUAGAUCAUGAGUAGAUGAUGUCGAUCAUGAGUAGAUGAUGUAGAUCUUAGAUGAUGUAGAUCAUGAGUAGAUGAUGUAGAUCACGAAUAUAUGAUGUCAAGCAGAACAUGAAUGAUACAGAAAAGGAAUUAGUCAUAGAACAUGAAUAAGCUAUAUCAAUCACUGUUCAAUCCAUUGAAUAAAUGACAUAGAGCAUUAAUGAUGGUAACUUGAAUGAAGGAUAUAGAAUUUGCAUGAAUGACAAAGAAUAUGAAUUAAUGUUGAGGAAUGUAAGUGAGUGAUAUAUAACAUGAAUAAGUGAUAUUUAGCUUAAAUACAACUUAAAUGAGUGAUAUUAAACUUAAAUAUACUAGUAACUUAAGUGAAUGUAUAAAACAUGAAUAAGUGGUAUUUAACUUAAAUUCGUACAACUUAAAUGAGUGACAUUCAACUUAAAUAUAACUUAAAUGAGUUAGUGAUAUACAAGGUGAAUGAGUGAUAUACUCGUAUAACAUGUAGGAUUGAUACAUAACUUGACUGAGUGAUAUAUAACAUGAAUAAGUGAUAUAUAACAUGAAUGAGUGAUAUAUAUCAUGACUGAGUGAAAUAUUACAUGAAUAAGUUAUACAUGUAUAUAACAUGAAGUAGUGAUAUAUAAUAUAAAGGAGUGAUAUAUAACAUGAAUGAGUGAUAUAUACCAUGAAGGAGUGAUAUAUAACAUGACAGAGUGAAUAUAUUAAACAACAAGAAUGAGUGACAUUGAACUUGAACAAGUGACAUUGACAUACAAAAUGAAUUAAUGACAAAUAAUAUAGAUGAGUCUGACAUACCAACAAAUGAGUAAUCAACAUGAUUGAGUGACAUUCAACUAGAACACGUGGCAGAGUGAGUGAUAUACAACAUGGAUGAAUGAUAAUGAACACAAAUGAGUGAUAUUGAACUUGAAUUUUUGAGGAAGAGCAUGAUUGGUUGUUACAGGUUAUUGAUAAACUAUGUUGGUGUAUAUGAAUCAUUUUAUCAUGGGACAUAU